rnacentral:rRNA from 1 species
GUCCUUUUGUUUAUAUAUAAGGUCUGACCUGCCCACUGAAUUUAAAUGGCCGCAGUACUCUAACUGUGCAAAGGUAGCAUAAUAAUUAGUCUUUUAAUUGAAGGCUGGAAUGAAUGGUUGGACGAGAUAUAGACUGUUUCAUUUAAAUUUAUAGUAGAAUUUUAUUUUUCAGUCAAAAAGCUGAAAUUUUAUUAAAAGACGAGAAGACCCUAUAAAUCUUUACAUUUCACAUAUUUCUUAAAUAAAGAAGUCUUACCGAGAAAUAUGACAAAAUGUUUUAUUGGGGUGAUAUUAAAAUUUAAAAAACUUUUAAUUUAAAUUACAUUAAUUUAUGAACAAAUGAUCCGUAAAAACGAUUAAUAAAUUAAGUUACUUUAGGGAUAACAGCGUAAUUUUUUUGGAGAGUUCAUAUCGAUAAAAAAGAUUGCGACCUCGAUGUUGGAUUAAGGGAUAGAUUUAG